rnacentral:rRNA from 1 species
GCCAAUUAAAGCGGUACGUGAGCUGGGUUUAGAACGUCGUGAGACAGUUCGGUCCCUAUCUGCCGUGGGUGUUGGAUACUUGAGAGGAGCUGUCCCUAGUACGAGAGGACCGGGAUGGACAUACCUCUGGUGGACCUGUUGUCACGCCAGUGGCACAGCAGGGUAGCUAAGUAUGGACGGGAUAACCGCUGAAGGCAUCUAAGCGGGAAGCCUCCCUCAAAACUAGGUCUCCCUUGAGAGCCGUGGAAGACCACCACGUUGAUAGGCUGGAAGUGGAAGCGCAGCAAUGCGUGA